rnacentral:rRNA from 1 species
AGUGCGCCAGCCUAACAUGCAGUCGAACGGUACCGACUAGCUGCUAGUGCCGACGAGUGCGACCGUGAGUAUACUACGAUCGCCUCUGGUGGGGGAUACUAUUGAAACGAUAGCUAUCCGCAUACGUCUACGACAAGAAGGGCUUCCGCUCUCGCGCAGAGAGGAACUAAGCGAGAUUAGCUUGUUGGUGAGGUAAAGGCUCACCAAGCGACGAUCUCUAGCUGUUCUGAGAGGAAGAUCAGCCACACUGGAACUGAGACACGGUCCAGACUCCUACGGGAGGCAGCAGUGGGGAAUAUUGCACAAUGGGGGCAACCUGAUGCAGCCAUGCCGCGUGUGUGAAGAAGGCCUUCGGGUUGUAAAGCACUUUCAGUUGUGAGGAAAGGUUAGUAGUUAAUACCUGCUAGCUGUGACGUUAACAACAGAAGAAGCACCGGCUAACUCCGUGCCAGCAGCCGCGGUAAUACGGAGGGUGCGAGCGUUAAUCGGAAUUACUGGGCGUAAAGCGCACGCAGGCGGUCUGUUAAGCUAGAUGUGAAAGCCCCGCGCUCAACGUGGGAGGGUCAUUUAGAACUGGCAGACUAGAGUCUUGGAGAGGGGAGUGGAAUUCCAGGUGUAGCGGUGAAAUGCGUAGAGAUCUGGAGGAACAUCAAUGGCGAAGGCAACUCCCUGGCCAAAGACUGACGCUCAUGUGCGAAAGUGUGGGUAGCGAACAGGAUUAGAUACCCUGGUAGUCCACACCGUAAACGCUGUCUACUAGCUGUUUGUGGAUUUAAUCCGUGAGUAGCGAAGCUAACGCGAUAAGUAGACCGCCUGGGGAGUACGGCCGCAAGGUUAAAACUCAAAUGAAUUGACGGGGGCCCGCACAAGCGGUGGAGCAUGUGGUUUAAUUCGAUGCAACGCGAAGAACCUUACCUACUCUUGACAUACUAGAAACUUUUCAGAGAUGAAUUGGUGCCUUCGGGAAUCUAGAUACAGGUGCUGCAUGGCUGUCGUCAGCUCGUGUCGUGAGAUGUUGGGUUAAGUCCCGCAACGAGCGCAACCCUUGUCCUUAGUUACCAGCAUUAAGUUGGGUACUUUAAGGAGACUGCCGGUGACAAACCGGAGGAAGGUGGGGACGACGUCAAGUCAUCAUGGCCCUUACGAGUAGGGCUACACACGUGCUACAAUGGCGAGUACAAAGGGAUGCAAACUGGUGACAGUAAGCGGACCCCUUAAAGCUCGUCGUAGUCCGGAUUGGAGUCUGCAACUCGACUCCAUGAAGUCGGAAUCGCUAGUAAUCGUAGGUCAGCAUACUACGGUGAAUACGUUCCCGGGCCUUGUACACACCGCCCGUCACACCAUGGGAGUGGGAUGCAAAAGAAGUGGGUAGCUUAACCUUCGGGAUGGCGCUUACCACUUUGUGUUUCAUGACUGGGGUGAAGUCGUAACAAGGUAGCCGU